rnacentral:rRNA from 1 species
GAUGAACGCUGGCGGCGUGCUUAACACAUGCAAGUCGAACGAUGAAAGCGAGAGCUUGCUCUUGCUGGAUUAGUGGCGAACGGGUGAGUAACACGUGAGCAAUCUGCCCUGAACUCUGGGAUAAGCGUUGGAAACGACGUCUAAUACCGGAUACGUCGCGCGAAGGCAUCUUCUGCGCGGUGAAAGAAUUUGGGUUCGGGAUGAGCUCGCGGCAUAUCAGCUAGUUGGUGAGGUAACGGCUCACCAAGGGGACGACGGGUAGCCGGCCUGUGAGGGUGACCGGCCACACUGGGACUGAGACACGGCCCAGACUCCUACGGGAGGCAGCAGUGGGGAAUAUUGCACAAUGGGCGAAAGCCUGAUGCAGCAACGCCGCGUGAGGGACGACGGCCUUCGGGUUGUAAACCUCUUUUAGUAGGGAAGAAGCGAAAGUGACGGUACCUGCAGAAAAAGCACCGGCUAACUACGUGCCAGCAGCCGCCGUAAAAC